UACAGAGGGUGCGAGCGUUAAUCGGAAUUACUGGGCGUAAAGCGCGCGUAGGCGGCUUUGCAAGUCGGGUGUGAAAUCCCCAGGCUUAACCUGGGAACUGCAUUCGAGACUGCAUUGCUAGAGUAUGGGAGAGGGAAGUGGAAUUUCCGGUGUAGCGGUGAAAUGCGUAGAUAUCGGGAGGAACAUCAGUGGCGAAGGCGGCUACCUGGCCCAAUACUGACACUCAGGUGCGACAGCGUGGGGAGCAAACAGG
rnacentral:rRNA from 1 species